AUGGCCGAGAUACCUCUUCAUUCCUGCUCUGGGCUCCUUGGAUUCCGCUUCUCCCAUGUCCUCCUUGCUUUCUGGUGCACCUUUGUCGGCAGUGGCUCUGCUCAGAAUGUGAUCCAGACUCCAAGAUUUGUCAAUGGCUUGACAGAGCAAAGUAUUUCCUUCAGUUGCUCUGUUGACAAAAACUAUAAUUUGUUUUGGUAUCGCCAACUGCCUGGGAAGACAGAAUUGGAAGUCCUUGGGACUGUCUACUAUUACAAGAAAGAACUUGAAGAGAUUGGAAAUGAUUUCAAGGGUCGACUGAAUGGAAAUAUCGCAGAGAGAUCAGGCAAGCUGGAAAUGCAUUUGGAAUUGUCAAAACUGCAGGCAGAUGAUACAGGCUUAUAUCUGUGUGCUGCGGUGUACACGGUGAAAGAGAAAGGAACAGUGGCAGGAUCAACCAUCAACAGUAAGGAACUAGCAGUCAAGAAAGACAUCACAGAGUAA